rnacentral:RNase_P_RNA from 1 species
AGAGUCAACUAUAUGAUCGCUGUGAAAACAGAGGAAAGUCCGGGCUCCAUAGGCAAUAGUGCCAGGUAACACCUGGGAAACGUAAGUUUACGGAAAGUGCUACAGAAAAUAACCGCUAAUAAACUUUAUUAGUAAGGGUGAAAAGGUGAGGUAAGAGCUCACCACAUACAAGGUAACGAGUAUGGUUGAGGCAAACCCCACUUGGAGCAAAGCAAAUUUAUAGCAUUUUGUCGGCCUAAGACACGCUAUAUGGUAAGCUGCUAGAGGUUUUUGGUGACAAAAUCCCCAGAUUAAUGGUCAUACACGACAGAACCCGGCUUAUCGGUUGGCUCUUAGC